rnacentral:tRNA from 2 species
GGCAAAGUGCCAGAGUGGUUAAUGGGUGAGACUUGAAAUCUCAUGGCUUCGGCCGCGCAUGUUCGAACCAUGCCUUUGUCG